GUAGGUGGCAAGCGUUGUCCGGAAUUAUUGGGCGUAAAGCGCGCGCAGGCGGUUCUUUAGGUCUGAUGUGAAAGCCCACGGCUCAACCGUGGAGGGUCAUUGGAAACUGGAGAACUUGAGUACAGAGGAGGAAAGCGGAAUUCCACGUGUAGCGGUGAAAUGCGUAGAGAUGUGGAGGAACACCAGUGGCGAAGGCGGCUUUCUGGUCUGUAACUGACGCUGAGGCGCGAAAGCGUGGGGAGCAAGCAGGAUUAGAUACCCUGGUAGUCCACGCCGUAAACGAUGAGUGCUAAGUGUUAGGGGGUUUCCGCCCCCCUUAGUGCUGCAGCUAACGCAUUAAGCACUCCGCCUGGGAGUACGGCCGCAAGGCUG
rnacentral:rRNA from 1 species